rnacentral:rRNA from 1 species
GACGAACGCUGGCGGCGUGCUUAACACAUGCAAGUCGAACGGGCUCUGUCUGGCUGUGUGCUGGGUGGGGUUAGUGGCGAACGGGUGAGUAAUACGUGAGUAACCUGCCCUCUUCUUUGGGAUAAGCCUUGGAAACGGGGUCUAAUACUGGAUAUUCCUGUCUGGUCGCAUGGCUGGGUGGGGAAAGUUUUUUCGGUGGGGGAUGGGCUCGCGGCCUAUCAGCUUGUUGGUGGGGUGAUGGCCUACCAAGGCGUCGACGGGUAGCCGGCCUGAGAGGGUGACCGGCCACACUGGGACUGAGAUACGGCCCAGACUCCUACGGGAGGCAGCAGUGGGGGAUAGUGCACAAUGGGCGCAAGCCUGAUGCAGCGACGCCGCGUGGGGGAUGACGGCUUUCGGGUUGUAAACCUCUUUCGUCGGGGGACAAGGCUCUGCUUGGUGGUGGGGUUGAGGGUACCCGGUGAAGAAGCGCCGGCUAACUACGUG